rnacentral:rRNA from 1 species
GGAUGCGAUCAUACCAGCUCUAAAGCACCGAAUCCCAUUAGAACUCCGAAAUUAAGCGUGCUUGGGCGAGAGUAGUACUAGGAUGGGUGACCUCUUGGGAAGUCCUCGUGUUGCAUUCC